UACGGGGGGGGCAAGCGUUGUUCGGAAUUACUGGGCGUAAAGGGCUCGUAGGCGGCCAACUAAGUCAGACGUGAAAUCCCCAGGCUCAACCUGGGAACUGCGUCUGAUACUGGAUGGCUUGAAUCCGGGAGAGGGAUGCAGAAUUCCGGGUGUAGCGGUGAAAUGCGCAGAUAUCCGGAGGAACACCGGUGGCGAAGGCGGCUUCCUGGACCGACGCUGACGCUGAGGCGCGAAAGCUAGGGGAGCAAACGGG
rnacentral:rRNA from 1 species